rnacentral:lncRNA from 12 species
UUAGCAUGAUUUGGGCUGACCACAACACACAUGUGCAAGAGAUGCAAAGAUCCAUCCUUUUUAUCCUCCUGCACGUUGUCAGGGAUAAUGCAAACUGGAAGAGUCACAAGUCACAACACCUUUGCCCUGGGGAAGCAAACAGAUAAAAGUAAGAAAUACAUAUACGAAAUACUUUGGGAAAUUAUUGGCUAUUACUUGUACUCUGUCCAAAUUCUAUAACCC